AUGACUGAACAUAUGAGUAAGGUUUGUUGACUGGCAGUCAAGAGGUCAGCGGUUCGAUCCCGCUUACCUCCACCA
rnacentral:tRNA from 1 species